AUGAAGAACGCAGCGAAAUGCGAUAAGUAAUGUGAAUUGCAGAAUUCAGUGAAUCAUCGAAUCUUUGAACGCACCUUGCGCCCUUUGGCUAUUCCGAAGGGCAUGCCUGUUUGAGUAUCGUGAACACCUCAACUCUCAUGGUUUGCCAUGAUGAGCUUGGACUUUGGGGGUUUUGCUGGCCUUUGGUCGGCUCCUCUCAAACGGAUCAGCUUUCCAGUGUUUGGUGGCGUCACGGGUGUGAUAACUAUCUACGCCUGUGGGUUUCUGCCAGAUAACCUUCAGCGAUGGAGGUUCGCUGGGGCUCAUAAAUGUCUCUCUUCAGUGGAGACAGCUUUUUGGACGUUUGAUCUCAAAUCAGGUAGGACUACCCGCUGAACUUAAGCAUAUCAAUAAGCGGAGGA
rnacentral:misc_RNA from 1 species